CGGACGGGUGAGUAACGCGUGAGAAUUUACCUUUAAGAGGGGGACAACAAUUGGAAACGAUUGCUAAUACCCCAUAUGCUUUAGAGUGAAAUAGAUUUAUCUGCCUAAAGAAAAGCUCGCGGCUGAUUAGCUAGUUGGUAAGGUAAUGGCUUACCAAGGCGACGAUCAGUAUCUGGUUUGAGAGGACGAUCAGACACACUGGAACUGAGACACGGUCCAGACUCUUACGGGAGGCAGCAGUGGGGAAUUUUCCGCAAUGGGCGAAAGCCUGACGGAGCAAUACCGCGUGAGGGAAGACUGCCUAUGGGUUGUAAACCUCUUUUUUCAGGGAGGAAUAAAAUGACGUGUACCUGAAGAAUAAGCAUCGGCUAACUCCGUGCCAGCAGCCGCGGUAAGACGGAGGAUGCAAGUGUUAUCCGGAAUCACUGGGCGUAAAGCGUCUGUAGGUGGCUUAAUAAGUCAACUGUUAAAUCUUGAGGCUCAACUUCAAAAUCGCAGUCGAAACUAUUAGACUAGAGUAUUGUAGAGGUAAAGGGAAUUUCCAGUGGAGCGGUGAAAUGCGUAGAUACUGGAAAGAACACCGAUGGCGAAAGCACUUUACUGGGCUAUUACUAACACUCAGAGACGAAAGCUAGGGGAGCAAAUGGGAUUAGAUACCCCUGUAGUC
rnacentral:rRNA from 1 species